GUUAUAGGGACAAGUGAAUAAGUGCACAUGGUGGAUGCCUUGGCGAUUACAGGCGAUGAAGGACGUUGUAGCCUGCGAUAAGCUGCGGGGAGCUGGCAAACAAGCUUUGAUCCGCAGAUUUCCGAAUGGGGAAACCCGGCCGUAAGGUCAUCACACACUGAAUACAUAGGUGUGUGAAGCGAACGUGGCGAACUGAAACAUCUAAGUAGCUACAGGAAAAGAAAUCAACCGAGAUUCCCAAAGUAGUGGCGAGCGAAAUGGGAUCAGCCUGCAAGAUUUAGCAUCAUUGAUAGCAAAGCGCUCUGGAAAGUGCGGCCAUAGAGGGUGAUAGCCCCGUAUGCGAAAUCAGUGGUGUGGAACUAAGCUUGCGACAAGUAGGGCGGGACACGUGUAAUCCUGUCUGAACAUGGGGGGACCAUCCUCCAAGGCUAAAUACUCGUAAUCGACCGAUAGUGAACCAGUACCGUGAGGGAAAGGCGAAAAGAACCCCGGGAGGGGAGUGAAAUAGAACCUGAAACCGUGUGCAUACAAACAGUCGGAGCCUCGUAAGGGGUGACGGCGUACCUUUUGUAUAAUGGGUCAGCGACUUACAUUCAGUGGCGAGGUUAACCGAAUAGGGAAGCCGUAGCGAAAGCGAGUCCGAAUAGGGCGAUUCAGUCGCUGGGUGUAGACCCGAAACCAAGUGAUCUACUCAUGGCCAGGAUGAAGGUGCCGUAACAGGUACUGGAGGUCCGAACCCACUAAUGUUGAAAAAUUAGGGGAUGAGCUGUGGGUAGGGGUGAAAGGCUAAACAAA
rnacentral:rRNA from 1 species